AUUGAACGCUGGCGGCAGGCCUAACACAUGCAAGUCGAACGAGUGGCGGACGGGUGAGUAAUGUCUGGGAAACUGCCUGAUGGAGGGGGAUAACUAAUGGAAACGGUAGCUAAUACCGCAUACCAUCGGAUGUGCCCAUAUGGGAUGAGCUAGUAGGUGGGGUAACGGCUCACCGAGGCGACGAUCCCUAGCGGGUCUGAGAGGAUGACGAGCCACACUGGAAAUGAGACACGGUCCAGACGCCUACGGGAGGCAGCAGUGGGGAAUGUUGCACAAUGGGCGCAAGGCUGAUGCAGCCAUGCCGCGGGUGUGAAGAAGGCCUUCGGGUUGUAAAGCACUUUCAGCGGGGAGGCGUUACCCGCAGAAGAAGCACCGGCUAACUCCGUGCCAGCAGCCGCGGUAAUUC
rnacentral:rRNA from 1 species